rnacentral:hammerhead_ribozyme from 1 species
AUCCAGCUGGUGAGUCCCAAAUAGGAUGAAAUGCUCAUCCUGGAU